ensembl:lncRNA
GUGUAGGGCAGUCAGGUAGGGUGUAGGGCAGUCAGGUAGGGUGGAGGGUGGUCAGGUAGGGUGGAGGGUGGUCAGGUAGGGUGGAGGGUGGUCAGGUAGGGUAGAGGGUGGUCAGGUAGGGUAGAGGGUGGUCAGGUAGGGUGGAGGGUGUCAGGUAGGGUGGAGGGUGGUCAGGUAGGGUGGAGGGUGGUCAGGUAGGGUAGAGGGUGGUCAGGUAGGGUAGAGGGUGGUCAGGUAGGGUGGAGGGUGACCUGCCCCAGCUCAACUCUCUGUUUUUGUAUAUCUGCAGUACAUUUCUACUCUUGCAUUAGUCCUCAUCCAUUGGCCAUUUGGGUUAGCAUGAAACCUAACUAUAUUUGGCACAGAAAAAUAAACAGGAACAUAAUACAAUAUCCCACCUCCUUGGCUUUGGGCAGGGGCUGAAGGUAUGCAUGUUGAUCAGUAGGGGCUGAAGGUAUGCAUGUUGAUCAGUAGGGGCUGAAGGUAUGCAUGUUGAUCAGUAGGGG